rnacentral:rRNA from 1 species
CACGUAGGGUGCGAGCGUUGUCCGGAAUUAUUGGGCGUAAAGAGCUCGUAGGCGGUGUGUCGCGUCGGCCGUGAAAACCUGCAGCUUAACUGUGGGCGUGCGGUCGAUACGGGCAUCACUGGAGUUCGGCAGGGGAGACUGGAAUUCCUGGUGUAGCGGUGAAAUGCGCAGAUAUCAGGAGGAACACCCGGUGGCGAAGGC